GCAUGCAUGUCUAAGUAUAAGCAACUAUACUGUGAAACUGCGAAUGGCUCAUUAAAUCAGUUAUCGUUUAUUUGAUAGUACCUUACUACUUGGAUAACCGUGGUAAUUCUAGAGCUAAUACAUGCUAAAAACCCCGACUUCGGAAGGGGUGUAUUUAUUAGAUAAAAAACCAAUGCCCUUCGGGGCUCCUUGGUGAAUCAUGAUAACUUAACGAAUCGCAUGGCCUUGCGCCGGCGAUGGUUCAUUCAAAUUUCUGCCCUAUCAACUUUCGAUGGUAGGAUAGUGGCCUACCAUGGUAUCAACGGGUAACGGGGAAUUAGGGUUCUAUUCCGGAGAGGAGCCUGAGAAACGGCUACCACAUCCAAGGAAGGCAGCAGGCGCGCAAAUUACCCAAUCCCGACACGGGGAGGUAGUGACAAUAAAUACUGAUACAGGGCUCUUUUGGGUCUUGUAAUUGGAAUGAGUACAAUUUAAAUACCUUAACGAGGAACAAUUGGAGGCAAGUCUGGUGCCAGCAGCCGCGGUAAUUCCAGCUCCAAUAGCGUAUAUUAAAGUUGUUGCAGUUAAAAAGCUCGUAGUUGAACCUUGGGCCUGGCUGGCCGGUCUGCCUCACCGCAUGUACUGGUUCGGCCGGGCCUUUCCUCCUGGGGAUCCGCAUGCCCUUCACUGGGUGUGUUGGGGAACCAGGACUUUUACUUUGAAAAAAUUAGAGUGUUCAAAGCAGGCCUUUGCUCGAAUACAUUAGCAUGGAAUAAUAGAAUAGGACGUGCGGUCCUAUUUUGUUGGUUUCUAGGACCGCCGUAAUGAUUAAUAGGGAUAGUCGGGGGCAUCAGUAUUCAGUUGUCAGAGGUGAAAUUCUUGGAUUUACUGAAGACUAACUACUGCGAAAGCAUUUGCCAAGGAUGUUUUCAUUAAUCAGUGAACGAAAGUUAGGGGAUCGAAGACGAUCAGAUACCGUCGUAGUCUUAACCGUAAACUAUGCCGACUAGGGAUCGGGCGAUGUUAUUCUUUUGACUCGCUCGGCACCUUACGAGAAAUCAAAGUCUUUGGUUCUGGGGGAGUAUGUCGCAAGGUGCA
rnacentral:rRNA from 1 species